GCAAUGCAAAUCGUGACAACAGAGAAGACAGACAAGGGGGCAGGUGCUGGGAAAGUCUAAGGCAGAGACACUUGUCUUAAAAGGACAGAGAGAAGGGGCAGAAGGGAGGAAUCUGCCUGUGUCUCCCCGGGAGACUCAGGGGACACUAAGAAGAGACCCUGCUCACAGAGAACAUGGAUACUGCCAUGCUGAGCUUCGAACUUGCUUAAUCUGUAGCUGAGGAGACCCUUGAACAUCUGCUCCUUCCAACUUCAACCUCCCAUGUUCCGGUCUACAGGAAGACCCUGGACAGCAAAACACAUGCCCUUGAUAUUUAUAACUGGCCAGAAGAACGGUGGAGUCCAUGUUCCAUCUGUUACCGGGAAUCAGACCCUCCGAGCUGUCCCGUGGCUGUGCCGGCCACCCUUUGUUCGACUCGUGCAACAUUUGAAAGCACUUCAGCUUACAAGAAACAAAGUUUCCUAGGGAGACGAUUUAUAAUCGAACUCAGAUGAUGAGAAACCCCAACAGCAGGCCCGCCUGAAGUGUUCAUGCCUGGCCCCCAGAACCAGCUGGGUCCUGCAACAUCAAAGGCAUAAACAAUUGAAUCAACGUGGGUCCCUGAUCCCUCCCAGUGGCGCUGGGGCCCUCAGUCAUCUCAAACGAGGGGAAAGCUUACCGGGCCUGUGGGUCUUCUUCCCUUGGAAGUUGAUUUUAUCUGAGAGCUUGUAUAUUGCCGUCCCCAUCUCUGAGCGGAGCCCGGCUGUGUAGCAUUGAGAGACAGCUGAGGGUGACAGGCUGAGCGGGCCAGCCCCACUGACCUGUGUGACUCAGAGCCUACCAGAUAGGGGCCCAGCUCGCUCCAGUCCCGGCUCCCUGUUUAUUUUUUUAGCGACCACCAGCGCGCCCAGUUACUCCUCCCAGGGCUGCUGUACUUUCAUACCGACGUCCAUAAACUACAUUGGAAAAGACUGAGAGACCGGUGGUCUAAUUAGAGGUGCCUCUUCUAUACUACUUAAGAGACCUCUGAAAUCACACACCUAGAACUGGGUAAUGUUUGGCAACUUUAUUAACACCUUCUCGCCGUUUAGCCACUUCUUUUGUAAGAUAGAAAAAUGGUUCCCACUUGAUUCAGGUCAUUUUUAUGGUACCCUAGGUUGAACUCACUGAGCCUUGUACGUGCUAGAGGCUAGGCAAACAAUUUUUUUUUUUUUUUGAGACUGGGUCUAUGUUGCUACAACUAGCUUUGAACUUGCUCUGUAGCCCAGGCAGGCCUUGAACUUGGGCUUCUGCCUCAACCACCAAGGCUCAAGGCCUGGCUCCGAUGCAGUUUGUAACUCGUGCCAGAGGAGGGCGCCGCUGAGCACGGCCUGGCUCAGCAUCCCCGAGCCCCAGCAGGCUCUCCUUCAGAUGAGCCAUUCGACCUGUGACUGCCUUUUUCUACUGCUACCCCGUCCCAGCUCUGCCUUCCGCUCCCUUGGUUACUCCCCGAAGACAUUUCCGAAAGUGAGGAAAGCAGAUUUUACCAAAGCCGGAUUCACAGAGGGAGGCUGCGAGGAUUUGGUCAAAUCCCCCAACCACACAAAAAUAGCAGUUCUUUUUUUUCCCUCAGCUGGCUCUGUCAGUCAGUGGCGUGAUCCUCGGGUCUCAGUUGUCACCUCUCUGAGACGAGUGGUGCUUCUACAGGACCUCUGGGAGCCCUGGAAACGCCCUGCUCCUUAAGACUCAGACCCACCUCUCUGGGACAUCAGCAAUUUUAUUUUUAUGGUCCCCGGGAGCUGAAUGGCGGGCCUUACGUAUGCUAGCCAAGUUCUCUACCACUGAGCUGCUUUUCCUCCCUAACAUUUCUCUUGGAACAAAA